CCCAAUAGCCGCUUAAAACCAGCUUGACCUGGCUGGAAAUGUAUGAAUAGACGGCGACAGAAUCGCCGUAUUGGAAAUUUUUUGGGGACGUUUACGUGGUGGGAACGAAAGGUCUAAGGUUCCUCACCAACUUGUGAGGAUCUUUACCGUGCGGUGGUUAUUUAUCCGUGGUCAUUGCUUGAGCGGGAGUUGUAUGCAUUCGCGAGAACCGCCUCUGCGCAUGGAUACGUGGUCUCGUUCUGUGAUACUGUCUAUAAGCAAUGUGGUAACGACUUGCCCGAUCAUGAACACCGUGUGUUAUGCUAUUUGUGGAUGUAUGCCGUACGUGUAUGUCUGGGUGUCUACCAACCUGGGAAAGUCGGGGAAUUGGGGCCUUGCUGGAAAACUGGGGGAACUUUGGUGAAACCUGGCUAAUUCAUAGAAACUGGCGGCAGUCUGUGCCACCAUCACAA
rnacentral:lncRNA from 1 species